ensembl:lncRNA
CAUCAUCAUCAUCCUCACAGCACACAGAAAGAGUUAGGUAAUCAUCAUCAUCAUCAUCGUUAUCAUCAUCAUUAUCAUCAUCAUCAUCGUCAUCAUUAUCAUCAUCAUCGUCAUCAUUGCAUCAUCAUCAUCGUCACUGCACACAGAAAGAGUUCGGUAAUCAUCAUCAUCAUCAUCAUCAUCAUUAUCAUCAUCAUCAUCGUCACCAUUAUCAUCAUCAUCAUCAUCAUUGCAUCAUCAUCAUUGUCACUGCACACAGAAAGAGUUAGGUAAUCAUCAUCAUCAUCAUCGUUAUCAUCAUCAUUAUCAUCAUCAUCAUCGUCAUCAUUAUCAUCAUCAUCGUCAUCAUUGCAUCAUCAUCAUCGUCACUGCACACAGAAAGAGUUCGGUAAUCAUCAUCAUCAUCAUCAUCAUUAUUAUCAUCAUCAUCAUCAUUAUCAUCGUCAUCAUCGUCAUCAUUAUCAUCAUCAUCGUCAUCAUUGCAUCAUCAUCAUCGUCACUGCACACAGAAAGAGUUCGGUAAUCAUCAUCAUCAUCAUCAUCAUUAUCAUCAUCAUCAUCGUCACCAUUAUCAUCAUCAUCAUCAUCAUUGCAUCAUCAUCAUUGUCACUGCACACAGAAAGAGUUAGGUAAUCAUCAUCAUCAUCAUGAUCGUCAUCAUUAUUAUCAUCAUCAUCGCCAUCAUCAUCAUCCUCACUGCACACAGAAAGAGUUGGGUAAUCAUCAUCAUUAUUAUUAUCAUCAUCAUCAUCAUCAUCGUCACUGCACACAGAAAGAGUUAGGAAAUCAUCAUUAUUAUCAACAUCAUCAUCAUU